rnacentral:rRNA from 1 species
UACGGUGGAUGCGAGCGUUAUCCGGAUUUAUUGGGUUUAAAGGGUGCGUAGGCGGGCUUUUAAGUCAGCGGUAAAAAUUCGGGGCUCAACCCCGUCCGGCCGUUGAAACUGGGGGCCUUGAGUGGGCGAGAAGAAGGCGGAAUGCGUGGUGUAGCGGUGAAAUGCAUAGAUAUCACGCAGAACCCCGAUUGCGAAGGCAGCCUUCCGGCGCCCUACUGACGCUGAGGCACGAAAGUGCGGGGAUCGAACAGG